rnacentral:rRNA from 1 species
CACGUAGGGGGCAAGCGUUGUCCGGAUUUAUUGGGCGUAAAGAGCUCGUAGGUGGCUGAGUAAGUCGGAUGUUAAAUCCCCAGGCUCAACCUGGGACACCACCCGAUACUGCUCUGGCUAGAGUCCGGAAGAGGAGAGUGGAAUUCCUGGUGUAGCGGUGAAAUGCGCAGAUAUCAGGAAGAACACCAAUGGCGAAAGCAGCUCUCUGGGACGGUACUGACGCUGAGACGCGAAAGCGUGGGGAGCGAACAGG